AGGGGAAAGGGACCUCCCUCCCUCCCAAGGCUCAGCCAGGCAGCGGUGCAGGCUGAAGAGCAGUGCUGGGGAAUUCUGUCCUCCCAAGAUAAGCUUAGUGUUAGAGACACGAUCUGCAUGGCCAGCACUUCUGCUAUCAGUGACCAACCUCACUCCCACAGGUGUAGCUCAGGCCUCCUGCUCAGAGGGGCCUCCUGACUAGUGGCCCUGAGAUGAAAAUGGAGAUCACAGCAGAGGAGAUAAAGGCAAUUGUACCUGGACUUUGGUCAGGCUGUCCUGGAGAUGGCAGGCAGGUGGCCCAGCUAGACCCAUGGUGAAUGCUGACUUCCCAGCAGGGCCGAGUGCAGAUUUGCCACCACCAUGCUCUGGGAUUGACUGUGCCAGCUUUCAAAUCCCUGUAAGUCCCUCCAUCUUAGAGCCUCGAUUCCGAAUCCUGGAGGACAGAGCCUGGCAGAAGUCAUGAGCUCAGGACCACAGACAUCGCAGAUGUUGGAGACCGGCUUCUUGAAGGUCACACGGCUGGCAGCAGAGACACAUCCACGGCUGGAAUCCAGUAGUUCCAAGCUUGGGCUUCUCCCACAACCUGCUGGGCCUCCUCAUUGAGGGAACACGGAAUGGCUCCGCCAAAGUUGAGAGGAGAUAAUGGGGACCAUGAUUGGGACAGUGGAAGAUUUUAUUUUUGUUUGCUUGUUUAUUUACCUAUUCCAAAAUGAAAAUGGUUAACUAUU